UCAAAGUUCAUUCUUUUUUUUUCCUGUUCUCUCACUCACACCCAAUACCAAUAAGCAUUUUCUUGUUCUCUCACUCACCGCCGCACCUCCAUGAAAAUAUUCUAGCUUCAAUUCUCAACAUCGUUCCACCACCAUCAUUCACCACCCACCACCUUCAACUCUCACCACCAUAAAAUCCUAGAUCUAACGAUCACCACCCAUCAUUAGUCCACCACCAUCAUUCACGAUAACCGCACCACCGACAGAGACUGAAGAAUCUGCUGAUUAGAAACCACAAGAGGGCUUUAUGACUCUAUCAACAGAAAUGCGGUGCUUGAAAGAGUUGCAAUAGAAAAGAGGCUGUCACUAGUCAAAGCAUGGGAAGAAAGUGAAAAGUCUAAAGCAUAAAACAAGAACUUUUCUUAUUACUCGUGAAAUUUGCAAGCAUCUAACAAGAGAGUGUAUGUUGAAAGAAGAAAUUGAAAAGUCUAAAGAAGAAAACAAGAACUUUUCUUAUUACUCGUGAAAUUUGCAAGCAUCUAACAAGAGAGUGUAUGUUGAAAGAAGAAAUUGAAAAGUCUAAAGAAGAAAACAAGAACUUUUCUUAUUACUCGUGAAAUUUGCAAGCAUCUAACAAGAGAGUGUAUGUUGAAAGAAGAAAUUGAAAAGUCUAAAGAAGAAAACAAGAACUUUUCUUAUAACUCGUGAAAUUUGCAAGCAUCUAACAAGAGAGUGUAUGUUGAAAGAAGAAAUUGAAAAGUCUAAAGCAGAAAACAAUGAUGGGUCAGCCUAAUCAAACUAUACCUACUCAAUAUGUCAUGAAUGAAGUUGGUUCAACAGCAAGAACUGAAGUUGUUGGAGCAGAAUUAGUUAAUACCCAACCUACAAAGAAGAGGAAAGCUAGUGCAAGUGGUUCUAGGCAAUCAUCUGCUUGUUGGGAGCACUUUAUUAGAUUACCAGAUGACUUAGUUGAUACACCAACUGCAGCUUGUAAACACUGCCACAAAAAAUACCUAUGUGACCCUAGGACUCAUGGCACCACCAACAUGAACCAUCACAUUCUAAAAUGUGCAAAGAAGCCUAGAACCACUGAUCCCACCCAAACUAUUCUGACAUACCCCUCUGCAGAAGGAUCUAGUUUGGGUCAUGUUAGCUCUAAAUUUGACAAGCAAGCUUGUAGAAAAGCUUUGUCAAUUUUUGUGGUUCUAGAUGAACAACCAUUUAGUGCAGUUGAGGGGGAAGGUUUUAAGUACUAUUCUAAAGUAAUGCAGCCCCAGUUUACUCUCCCAUCUAGGCGUACAGUAGCUAGAGACUGUUUUCAGCUACACUUGGAUGAGAAACAAAAACUAAAAGCCUUCUUUAAGUCUGACUGCAAUAGAGUAGCACUUACUACUGAUUGUUGGACUUCUAUCCAAAAUCAAAACUACUUAACCCUUACGGCACACUUUGUGGAUAACGAAUGGAACUAUCAAAAGAGAAUUAUAAGCUUCACAGUUAUUCCAAACCACAAGGGUGAUACGGUAGGUAGGAAGAUUGAAGAGGUGUUAAGGGAUUGAGGAAUUAGGAAUGUGUCUACCAUAAUUGUUGAUAAUGCAACUUCAAAUGAUGUAGCUGUAGCAUAUUUGCAUAGAAAAAUAUCAAAUAUGAAUGGGAUGAUGGGGGAUGGAAAAUGUUUUCAUAUGAGGUGCGCUGCUCACAUAUUGAAUUUGGUGGUAAAUAAGGGUUUGAAAGAUAAGCAUUUGUCUAUUACUAGUGUUAGGGAUGCUGUUAGAUUUGUCAAGUCCUCGCCUCAUAGGGCAGCCAAGUUUAAAGAGUGCAUUGAAUUUGCUGGAAUAACUUGUAAAAAACUAGUAUGUCUCGAUGUUUCAACUCGUUGGAACGCGACAUAUUUGAUGCUUGAGGCUGCAGAGAAGUUUCAAGUUGCUUUUGAUAAGCUUGAGUAUGAAGAGUCAAGCUAUAGGGAGUUCUUUGGAAAAGGUAGUCCUCCUAGUAGUGAUGAUUGGGACAUUGUUAGAGCUUUUAUCUCUUUUUAAAAGUUAUUCUAUGAAGCAACUAAUGUUUUUUCCACCUCUCAAAGUGUGAGUUUGCAUAGUGCUUUUCACCAAGUGUUUGUGAUCUAUUGUGAGCUGAAGCAAGCUACUAUGAACUUGAAUGGUGUUUUUGCAAGUGUGGGUGGGGACAUGAUGGAAAAGUAUAAUAGAUAUUGGGGGUGUGCUACUAAGAUGAACAAGUUGAUUUAUUUUGGAAUUAUUUUGGAUCCAAGAUACAAGUUGAGUUAUAUUGAGUGGACUUUUAAGGAUAUGUAUGGAGUUGGAUCUGUGUUUGCUACCGGGUUGAUCAAAUCUAUAAAAGAGAGCUUACAAAAAUUGUAUGAUUGGUAUAAGCAAGCUUAUGACCAAAAUCAUAAUAGACAACCUCUUGGUAGUGGUGAAAACAAUGUUUCCAAUGAUGAAACAACAGCUGGUCGUCCAUCACUAAUGGCUAGAGCCGAUGCUUUUGAGCAACAUUUAGAGGAACAAGACUCGAUUGAUCAACAAAAUGAGCUUGAGGGUUUUUACUCUAGUAAGUGUGUCAAAAGGGAUCCUAAAUUUGACCUUCUUGUGUGGUGGAAACACAAUUCAACACAAUAUCCUAUUUUAUCUACAAUAGCUAAAGAUAUUUUUGUCACACCAGUGUCUACGGUUGCAUCAGAAAGUGCCUUUAGUACGGGAGGGAGAGUCUUAGAAACUUAUAGGAGCUCCCUAAAACCUGAAAUGGCAGAGGCAUUAAUUUGCACCCAGAAUUGGUUAAAGCCGUCUUUUACCUAUUUCAAAGACUUGAACAUCAUGGAAGAUUUUGAGCUUUCUGAAGAUAUUAUAGCAGAAUUUGAAGAAAUUUCUUCUACAGCAAGAAGAGGAUCUUUACCGUCUCAGCCACAACCUUCUGGUUGUGCUUGAAAAAUAUGGAGUUCAACUAUGUUUUUUGAAGUCAUAUGUGACUUAUAUUUUGUGACUACUCAAUGGUCAAACAAUAUAUAUUUUGUCAUGUGGAUUUUGAAGAUAUUCAAGCUAGCCAAAUUUUGAAUAUUUUGAGGCCAUGCAGGAACAACUUGGUAAAACUGUGACGAUAUGCUAUAUAGCCAGGAUCAAUUGAUACAUUUUGCACCAUCUUGGUAAAUGAGCAGCAACAUAUGCCAUAUAGGAUCAACUUGGUAAAUGAGUAGCAAUAGAGGCCGUGCAGGAACAGCUUGGGUUGCAGCAAAUGCAAGGUUUGCAUAAAAAAGUGAGGCUCUGGAACUCAUCCUUGGAUAUGGCCCUGUUUGGAUAAGCAACAUAAUCUGCAGCUUAUGUUACUUUCAAAACUUUAGUUAAUGGUCACUUUCAAUUGAUGAUAAGAUAUUCUGACGUGUGCCUAAAAUACACGGUAGUUACUAGUUAGAGUAAGUUGUUGACAGCAAAAUGAAAGGGAAGUGUAAAGUUAUUGUAACCAUCAUUUUGGACUGGUAAUUUGCAACUGUAUAUAUUUACUGAAGAGAGAGCAUGGUAAUAUUUAAGUAACAUAAUUUGGGUUCCAGUAGUUGGAUAAGCAACCAUUCUAGUAGUUAGAGUAAGUCUGAGUUUUGGAAUAUGGCCCUGUUUGGAUAAGCAACAUAAUCUGCAGCUUAUAGCAUAAGUGUUUAUCAUAUAGCUGUGAUUCUUGGUUCUAUUUAAGUAAGUUAUUUAAACUUUAUUAUUUAAUAGUGGUCCCUGUUUUGUUUCAUGUUUGUUUAAUAGUGGUCAUAAUAUACUUAUUUGAUUUUUGUUUAACAGGUUCAGAUUUUGUAGUCCAUUUCAAUUUCUCUUAUGUGGUUA